GACGAACGCUGGCGGCGUGCCUAAUACAUGCAAGUCGAGCGGACGGAUGGGAGCUUGCUCCCAGACCGUCAGCGGCGGACGGGUGAGUAACACGUAGGCAACCUGCCUGUAAGACUGGGAUAACUCCGGGAAACCGGGGCUAAUACCGGAUAACUCUUUCCCUCACAUGAGGGAAAGCUGAAAGAUGGCAUCUCGCUAUCACUUACAGAUGGGCCCGCGGCGCAUUAGCUAGUUGGUGAGGUAACGGCUCACCAAGGCGACGAUGCGUAGCCGACCUGAGAGGGUGAUCGGCCACACUGGGACUGAGACACGGCCCAGACUCCUACGGGAGGCAGCAGUAGGGAAUCUUCCGCAAUGGACGAAAGUCUGACGGAGCAACGCCGCGUGAGUGAUGAAGGUUUUCGGAUCGUAAAACUCUGUUGUCAGGGAAGAACAAGUACCGGAGUAACUGCCGGUACCUUGACGGUACCUGACCAGAAAGCCACGGCUAACUACGUG
rnacentral:rRNA from 1 species